GAUGAACGCUGGCGGCGUGCUUAACACAUGCAAGUCGAACGAAGAUGCCGGAGUGCUUGCACUUUGGCAGACUGAGUGGCGGACGGGUGAGUAACGCGUGGGUAACCUGCCUUAUACAGGGGGAUAACAGUUGGAAACGACUGCUAAUACCGCAUAAGCGCACGGUAUCGCAUGAUACAGUGUGAAAAACUCCGCUUUGAGAUGGCCUCGCGUCCGAUUAGCUAGUUGGUGAGGUAACGGCCCACCAAGGCGACGAUCGGUAGCCGGACUGAGAGGUUGAACGGCCACAUUGGGACUGAGACACGGCCCAAACUCCUACGGGAGGCAGCAGUGGGGAAUAUUGCACAAUGGGGGAAACCCUGAUGCAGCGACGCCGCGUGGAGGAAGAAGGUCUUCGGAUUGUAAACUCCUGUUGUUGGGGAAGAUAAUGACGGUACCCAACAAGGAAGUGACGGCUAACUACGUG
rnacentral:rRNA from 1 species